AAUUAAUAAAAUUGUUUUUAUUUUAAUUUGAUUUAUUAAUAUAUAUAUAUAAAUUAAAUAAAUUAAUGUUUGUGUAAUAUUUAUUGAUAAAAUUGGUUUUACUAUAGUUUAUUAGUACUGUGAAGGAAAUUUAAUUUUAUAAUUAAUAAAAGAUAAUUUAAUUAAUUGUAUCUUGUGUAUCAGAGUAUAUUAAAAUGAAUUAUAGAUUUUUUUUGUUCUCGAAUUUAAAAGAUUUAAUUAAAUAUACUAGUUAUUGUUUCAUAAAUAUUAGUAAUAUUUAAUUGGUAAUGAGAUGUUAUUCGUUUUUAAGGAUAUCUAGUUUUUUAAUAAAUGAAUUUAAUUCAGAAUAUAUAAUUUAUUUAAUAAUUUUGUAUUGUGAUAUUUUAUAUAUUUAAUUUUAAAAGGGAUUAUCUUUUUAAAAUAUUAUUAUAAUAAUAUUUUGUCUUAGGAUUUUAUGAAUUUAGAGGUUGUUAUUAAUUAAAGGAUGUUAAAAUUUAAUUCUUGAUUUUGAUAAUUUUAAUUUAUUUAAUUUAUAUAUUAAAAUGUUAAUUUGAAUUUAGUAGAUUUAGUAAUAAUGAUUUAAUUAGUAAAAUAUUUUGUAAAUAUAAAUUUUUAUAUUAAUUUUAGUAUAAAGAAUUAGGCAAAGUUUUUGCUCACCUGUUUAUUAAAAACAUGGUUUCCUGAUUAAUAUUUAGGAAAUCUGGCCUGCCCACUGAAAAUUUUUGAAGGGCCGCAGUAUUUUGACUGUGCGAAGGUAGCAUAAUCAUUAGUCUUUUAAUUAAAGGCUUGUAUGAAUGGUUGGAUGAGGUAAAUACUGUUUUAUAUUAAAAAUUUGAAUUUUGAUUUUAAGUAAAAAUACUUAAAUUUAAUUAAGGGACGAGAAGACCCUAUAGAGUUUAAUAAAUGUAAUAAUAAAUUGAGUUAAUAAGAAUAUUUUAGUUUUUAUUAAGUUUAUUUAAUUGGGGUGAUUAAAGGAUAAAUGAAACUCCUUUUUAAGUUAAAUAUUAUAAUUAGUAAUGUGAUCCAUAAUUAAUGAUUGAAAGAUUAAAUUACCUUAGGGAUAACAGCAUAAUUUCUUUUGAGAGUUCAUAUUGAAAAAGAAGAUUGUGACCUCGAUGUUGGAUUAAGAUUUGUUUAGGGUGUAGGUGUUCAUAAACUGGGUCUGUUCGACCUUUAAAAUCUUACAUGAUCUGAGUUUAAACCGGCGUGAGCCAGGUUGGUUUCUAUCUUUAAUUUAAUUAAAUAUCUUAGUACGAGAGGACCAGAUAUUUAAAAUAAUUUGUAUUAAAUUGAAUAUUAUUAAUUAA
rnacentral:rRNA from 1 species